UCCGGUUGAUCCCGCCGGACCCGACUGCUAUCAGAAUAGGACUAAGCCAUGCGAGUCAACGUAGCAAUACGUGGCAUACGGCUCAGUAACACGUAGUCAACAUGCCCAGGGGACGUGGAUAACCUCGGGAAACUGAGGAUAAACCGCGAUAGGCCAAGGUUUCUGGAAUGAGCCAUGGCCGAAAUCUAUAUGGCCUUUGGAUUGGACUGCGGCCGAUCAGGCUGCUGGUGAGGUAAUGGCCCACCAAACCUGUAACCGGUACGGGCUUUGAGAGAAGUAGCCCGGAGAUGGGCACUGAGACAAGGGCCCAGGCCCUAUGGGGCGCAGCAGGCGCGAAACCUCUGCAAUAGGCGAAAGCCUGACAGGGUUACUCUGAGUGAUGCCCGCUAAGGGUAUCUUUUGGCACCUCUAAAAAUGGUGCAGAAUAAGGGGUGGGCAAGUCUGGUGUCAGCCGCCGCGGUAAUACCAGUACCCCGAGUUGUCGGGACGAUUAUUGGGCCUAAGGCAUCCGUAGCCGGUACUGCAAGUCUUCCGUUAAAUCCACCUGCUUAACAGUUGGGCUGCGGGGGAUACUACAGCGCUAGGAGGCGGGAGAGGCAAGCGGUACUCAAUGGGUAGGGGUAAAAUCCGCUGAUCCAUUGAAGACCACCAGUGGCGAAGGCGGCUUGCCAGAACGCACUCGACGGUGAGGGAUGAAGGCUGGGGGAGCAAACCGGAUUAGAUACCCGGGUAGUCCCAGCUGUAAACGAUGCAGACUCGGUGAUGAAUAGGCUUCGUGCCUAUUCAGUGCCGCAGGGAAAGCCGUUAAGUCUGCCGCCUGGGGAGUACGGUCGCAAGACUGAAACUUAAAGGAAUCGGCGGG
rnacentral:rRNA from 1 species